rnacentral:lncRNA from 1 species
UCAAAACCAUGCUUAAGAGAAUAGUGAAGGGCUCAGUUCUGCCAGUUAGUAGCUGCCUGUAUAAUGUCCUAUGUAGUCAAAGUUAUGAACAACCAGAGGGCUUGUCUGAACUUGAAAACUCAUUUGGAUUAAGGUGAAGCAAAAAGUCAAAGCACAAUAGCUCUCCCUGAAUAGGGAUAUUCAGAAGGCCAAGACCAGGUGCCAAGACUAGCCCUGCAGUCGUGCAGAGCACUCUUAAAGGCACAGUGUGGCCUGUUCUAGCUAACCUAAAGAGCAGAUCUGUCAUGGGACAAAUAACUUUAACCCCUAGUUCACCUCUUGGUGAGUUUUCAGCUCUAUAAACUGCAAGCAUCUGACAAAUUCCAAAAGCCCUGGACCCUUGGUGCUGUGGAUGGACAUUUGGGCUUGCCCAUUGGGUGGGAGGGAUCGGUUACCACUUCCCACUCCAGCAGGGAACAGACCAAAAGCAACGAUCCUGCAGUGCCCUGGUCACAGCGGCUUAAGUGUAAUUCUGCUCCCUCUGAGCAGCCAGACUGGUUUAGAAAAUGACUGCAUGAAUGAGCACAAUGCGGCUGUAAGGGGAGACUCCUUACUCGGGUCCAAAUGGGAUCGCACGAGAGUGGGAAGAUCAAUGCAGGAGUGUCCCUGUGGAACAGGAGCAGCGGAAUGGCUCGGACACUGGCAUCGCUGAGAGGAAGAACUGGAGUAGAAGCAGAAGAGACAUGUCAAAAUGAAGCUGCUGCCUCACUGGAGGCUGUGCUGUGCUGUACCACUGCUUGCUGCCUGCGUAAGGAACACAACAUCUGGCCUGCCUGGAGGUGGGAGCGUCUCACAUACUUGAUUCAGAUGAAGAAAUAAAUGAUGACUCUGAAACA